rnacentral:rRNA from 1 species
UACUAGAGUAGCACUCGCAUAUCAAUAAGCGGAGGAAAAGAAACUAACAAGGAUUCCCCUAGUAACGGCGAGUGAAGCGGGAAGAGCUCAAAUUUGAAAUCUUAAAGGGUUUCCCUUUACGAAUUGUAGUUUAAAGAAGUGUUUUCUGUUGAGGUUUUGGUAAAAGUUCUUUGGAAUAGGACAUCAUAGAGGGUGAGAAUCCCGUAUUUGACCUUUACUUUCAACUUUGUGAUACACUUUCAAAGAGUCGGAUUGUUUGGGAAUGCAGUCCAAAAUGGGUGGUAAAUUUCAUCUAAAGCUAAAUAUUGGCGAGAGACCGAUAGCGAACAAGUACCGUGAGGGAAAGAUGAAAAGAACUUUGAAAAGAGAGUUAAACAGUACGUGAAAUUGUCAAAAGGGAAGCGUUUGACACCAGUGUUGUUUUUCUGAAAGUCAAUUAAAGAACUGUUUAUGCUAAGCUGUUUAGACUUUAUCAGCUAAUCUGUUUAGUUUUGAGCUUUUCUUUAAUGCACUUUUCAGUUAACAAGUCAACAUCAAUUUCUUUUGCUGUAAAAAAGCUUGAGGAAGGUGGCUUGAGAUUCGUCUUAAGUGUUUAUAGCCUCUUGCCUAUGCAGUCGGAGAGAUUGAGGUCUGCAGCGUAGAUCCUUCGGGGCUAAAUGCAUUUGUGCUAAGUUAUAGCAUUUUAUAGACAACUUGUUGACUAUGAUUUGUCUUGUAGCUUACUCGCUUAUGUUAUUUUACCUACGCUUAGGAUGUUGAUCUACAGAGCGAGAGU